CAGGCCUAACACAUGCAAGUCGAGCGGGCACUUCGGUGUCAGCGGCAGACGGGUGAGUAACACGUGGGAACGUACCCUUCGGUUCGGAAUAACGCUGGGAAACUAGCGCUAAUACCGGAUACGCCCUUUUGGGGAAAGGUUUACUGCCGAAGGAUCGGCCCGCGUCUGAUUAGCUAGUUGGUGGGGUAACGGCCUACUGAGGCGACGAUCAGUAGCUGGUCUGAGAGGAUGAUCAGCCACACUGGGACUGAGACACGGCCCAGACUCCUACGGGAGGCAGCAGUGGGGGAUAUUGCACAAUGGGCGCAAGCCUGAUGCAGCCAUGCCGCGUUGAUGAAGAAGGCCUUCGGGUUGUAAAGUACUUUCAGCGGGGAGGAAGGCGAUGUGGUUAAUAACCGCGUCGAUUGACGUUACCCGCAGAAGAAGCACCGGCUAACUCCGUGCCAGCAGCCGCGGUAAU
rnacentral:rRNA from 1 species